AAUGAUGUAUCCAGGAAUGAGGAGCAUAGAGGAAAGAGCCAUGAGCCAGCCGAUGCCCUGUCCCCAGCCUGGGAACACAUACUUGCCCAUGGUCAGCGGGGUCAUCUCUAUUGCACUGAAGACAAUUGUAAAACAUCCACUAUCUUGGUCUCGGUUAUUCGUAUUAUGGACAUACACACAAAACCCCUUCCUAGUCCUGGGGAUCCUUCUGAUGGUGUGUAAAUGAUGGCCAUGAAUCCUACAAUGGAGAAGAUGACAAAGCCAGCAAAUAUGCUGGUGAAGGAGUUUAUGCAGCACACAAUGAUGGCAUCUCUGCAACAUGGAGAAGAUUUCACAGAUAUGCAAGUAUUGUAGCUGCCCAGAGCAAUCAGAGAACCCAAACCGAGACCAUAAGAGAAGAAGAUCUGAGUGGCAGCAUCCAACCACACCUAAAGAAUACAGAGAUAUGGGAAUCUCCAUACGUUUCCCAGGCCAAUGGCAUAUCCUAUGCAGGACAGCAGGAAGUCAAACUUGCCCUUCCAGGUGCCUCGAUCGGGAAGGCUCUGCUUGCUCUCAUUCAGAGCAGAAGUCAGACUGUGGUUCACUUCCUCAAAUGGAAUAGCCUGCUUGAGCUCUGAUGGAUUGCAAUCCAGACCCUGUCCUGGAAAACUGGAUACAGGAAUAUACCCUAGAUGGGACAACAGUCCACUGCAGGGCACCUUGCAGACCCAUUAGUGCACUCAUUCACACGGCCAAUUUUGUGAGUGCAGACCAUGCCUGCAAAUAAAUGACAUGAAGAGUGGAACUGUAAAAAAAAAUGCCAGCACCCCCAGUAAAGACUCUUUGGUAGGAGUUGUUGAAAAGUAGCCAGGAGAUAGGAAGGCGUGUGCAGAAACCUCAACACUAGUAUAGAUAGAGACAGAUGGGAAUUUUUAAAGAAUGUAAUAAGAAACAAAGUGGAUCUUCAGGCAUGGUCUUUUUCCCAAAUUUCAGUUACUUAUUAACUCUGUGAGUAGCUAAUCUACCUACUGGCAUGCUUUGGGAUCCAUAACUAUGCAAAAACUGUAAACAGAGCUCAUGUUCUAACCGGGGACUGUGGAUCUAUGGGGUGCCAAUGCUAGCCACUGCUCUACCAUGCCACCCUGCAGAUUAAAUAUUUAUAUCACUUUACCACCACUGGUUUAUCCAGAAAUAACAUGCAUACAGCCAACAAUAUGACUAUAUAGCUCCAUCUUUCACUUAUCACUUUGUAAUUAAUUCCCUGCAAGGAGUAAAAGCCAUGCCCACAGCCUUACACUCUUAUUGGGAAACCACUCCUUAAACCCUUUAACAGGCAGCUCAACCACAUGGUUACACACAUUUAUAAUUGUAUAAUUUCAAUAUAUUAUAGUGUUCAUAAAUUCAUCUCCAACUUUUCCAUUUAUCUCAAGUGAUUACUAUGAGUGUUUCUGACAUAAUACAAUCACAAUGGGGCUCUUUCAGUUUUCAGUAUGAAAGCCAGAUGUUGAUGUCACAGCACUACUUUUCAUUCAUCAAGUUACUGAGCUAAAAUGUCAAAAGUUAGUCUCAUACCUUGACUAGCCUUUUUGACUAACCACUCUUGACAUUGUGAAGUUAUUAUAUUACAGUCAUGGCCCUGUAUAUGUAUGAGUUGUGUUAAAAGUGUUACCCCACGGUCACCAAGUCACUAAACUGAGCCAUUAUAUCGCUAAACUAAGGAGUUUUCUGCCUGCUGUCAGUGAGCUGUGAGCUAUCAUGAAUUUUAUCAGCAAUUUUAUGAGCAUAACAUUUUAUCAAGAUAACUUGUUUUACAACAAUUAACAAAAUGACAAUACAUAGAAUAUGUAUCAAGAAACUCACACUCAUGAACCACAGUCCUCAGGGUUUGUUUCCUAUAUUUAACAAAAAGAAAAAAGUGAAA